rnacentral:rRNA from 1 species
UACAGAGGUCUCAAGCGUUGUUCGGAUUCAUUGGGCGUAAAGGGUGCGUAGGCGGCGCGGUAAGUCGGGUGUGAAAUCUCGGAGCUUAACUCCGAAACUGCAUUCGAUACUGCCGUGCUUGAGGACUGGAGAGGAGACUGGAAUUUACGGUGUAGCGGUGAAAUGCGUAGAUAUCGGGAAGAACACCCGUGGCGAAGGCGGCUCUCUGGAACGGUACUGACGCUGAGACGCGAAAGCGUGGGGAGCGAACAGG